UGAAGAUAUAUAAAUGUGGCGGCCCUCAGG
rnacentral:piRNA from 1 species